rnacentral:rRNA from 1 species
GAUGAACGCUGGCGGCGUGCCUAAUACAUGCAAGUCGAGCGAACGGACGAGAAGCUUGCUUCUCUGAUGUUAGCGGCGGACGGGUGAGUAACACGUGGAUAACCUACCUAUAAGACUGGGAUAACUUCGGGAAACCGGAGCUAAUACCGGAUAAUAUUUUGAACCGCAUGGUUCAAAAGUGAAAGACGGUCUUGCUGUCACUUAUAGAUGGAUCCGCGCUGCAUUAGCUAGUUGGUAAGGUAACGGCUUACCAAGGCAACGAUGCAUAGCCGACCUGAGAGGGUGAUCGGCCACACUGGAACUGAGACACGGUCCAGACUCCUACGGGAGGCAGCAGUAGGGAAUCUUCCGCAAUGGGCGAAAGCCUGACGGAGCAACGCCGCGUGAGUGAUGAAGGUCUUCGGAUCGUAAAACUCUGUUAUUAGGGAAGAACAUAUGUGUAAGUAACUGUGCACAUCUUGACGGUACCUAAUCAGAAAGCCACGGCUAACUACGUGCCAGCAGCCGCGGUAAUACGUAGGUGGCAAGCGUUAUCCGGAAUUAUUGGGCGUAAAGCGCGCGUAGGCGGUUUUUUAAGUCUGAUGUGAAAGCCCACGGCUCAAUCGUGGAGGGUCAUUGGAAACUGGAAAACUUGAGUGCAGAAGAGGAAAGUGGAAUUCCAUGUGUAGCGGUGAAAUGCGCAGAGAUAUGGAGGAACACCAGUGGCGAAGGCGACUUUCUGGUCUGUAACUGACGCUGAUGUGCGAAGGCGUGGGGAUCAAACAGGAUUAGAUACCCUGGUAGUCCACGCCGUAAACGAUGAGUGCUAAGUGUUAGGGGGUUUCCGCCCCUUAGUGCUGCAGCUAACGCAUUAAGCACUCCGCCUGGGGAGUACGACCGCAAGGUUGAAACUCAAAGGAAUUGACGGGGACCCGCACAAGCGGUGGAGCAUGUGGUUUAAUUCGAAGCAACGCGAAGAACCUUACCAAAUCUUGACAUCCUUUGACAACUCUAGAGAUAGAGCCUUCCCCUUCGGGGGACAAAGUGACAGGUGGUGCAUGGUUGUCGUCAGCUCGUGUCGUGAGAUGUUGGGUUAAGUCCCGCAACGAGCGCAACCCUUAAGCUUAGUUGCCAUCAUUAAGUUGGGCACUCUAAGUUGACUGCCGGUGACAAACCGGAGGAAGGUGGGGAUGACGUCAAAUCAUCAUGCCCCUUAUGAUUUGGGCUACACACGUGCUACAAUGGACAAUACAAAGGGCAGCGAAACCGCGAGGUCAAGCAAAUCCCAUAAAGUUGUUCUCAGUUCGGAUUGUAGUCUGCAACUCGACUACAUGAAGCUGGAAUCGCUAGUAAUCGUAGAUCAGCAUGCUACGGUGAAUACGUUCCCGGGUCU